UUGGUAAUCUUAAGAUCGAGACACCAAUACCAACAAGCUUACUCUUUGAAGUAUUGAUUUGAAAGCCCGAAGUAAAUUUAAAAAAUAUAAGAACCCGCAUUAAAUUUUCACUGUCCCAAUCUCCGACAAACAUCCCAUCGUCUGCAACUUGGAAACCUUUGAUAAAACCUCUCUCUCUCUCAUUAAAAGCCAUAUUGAGACCUUCCAUGACUAGAAGGAAAAUGAAUGGAGAAAGAGGAUCGCCUUGGCGAAGGCCACUCUUCAUUUUGAACUCUCUGGUUAGAAACCCAUUGAUUGGAAUGGAAGCUCUAGAGGAGCCAUAUCGUCUUGAUGUUAUGCUAAGUGACCCGACAUAUGAAGAUAGAAUCGCAAACUUCUUUAAAUUGUUAUCGACACAAAAUGAUAAUGGAGUCAAUAACGAGGGAACCAAGGGGAUGAAGAUGAUGACGAUGGCACGCAUGAUUAGUUUUAUGUUUCGUAAAUGUUUUAAUUUGGAUAAAUAAUAACUUUAACAUAUAUUAUGAAUUUUAUACUAAGUAUUUUAUAUAAUAUAUUGUUUUUCUCCA